UGUCCGGGAAUUUCUCUUUGAUGGCAGCCUUGAUGCCACUCCCGAUGGACUCCGGCCCGUCGUACUUCACCAGGCAGUCCUCGCCGUCGACGGCGAGUACAUCCACGGUCCCGCCGUAGUUCGCAAUCGCCGGCCGCAGUAUGUCCAGGUGCCGGUUCACCGCCUGCAGCACCGAUGAAUCGCUUGCUAAUGAGUGCUUAUAUACUCUACAACUACAAGGGUGCUAUGUCUAUGGGGUUGGAGUUCGUUCACCGACCUCGGGCGUCGUCUCCGCCGGCGGUUGGUCCCCGUCGAACACCUGACGGAUUUCCUUGAAAGCGUCGCCGAACUUCUCCUUAAGCACGCGCUCGAUGCCCAUAUUCAUCGUCGUUGUCGAGCUGGGGCAGCUGCCGCAUGCCCCUACAAGAUUUGAUCUCACCAAUGGAAUUGCCAAAAAGAUGCGUCACUUGGCCAAGAAAAUUACUUUACCUUCGAGCUUGAGGGAGAUGGUGCCGUCCUCGACGGACACGACGGUGACGUUGCCGCCGUCAGCGAUGAGGUACGGGCGCACGUCGUCCAGGACGCGGUCUACGUUCUCCGCCGUCAGCUCGUAGGUCGCCGCCGAGUACAGGCCGCCUCCCGGCGCCGGCGGCGUGGAUGCGGAGGCCGCGGCCAGGCAUGCCCGCGAACUGGAGGUCCGGAUCUUGGAGGUUCCGAAUUGGAGCCGCC
rnacentral:lncRNA from 1 species